rnacentral:rRNA from 1 species
UACGUAGGGGGCAAGCGUUGUCCGGAAUCAUUGGGCGUAAAGAGCGUGUAGGCGGCCCGAUAAGUCCGCUGUGAAAGUCCAGGGCUCAACCCUGGAAUGCCAGUGGAAACUGUCGGGCUAGAGUCCGGAAGAGGCGAGUGGAAUUCCUGGUGUAGCGGUGAAAUGCGCAGAUAUCAGGAGGAACACCAAUGGCGAAGGCAGCUCACUGGGACGAUACUGACGCUGAGACGCGAAAGCGUGGGGAGCAAACAGG